rnacentral:rRNA from 1 species
UACGUAGGGGGCUAGCGUUGUCCGGAAUCAUUGGGCGUAAAGAGCGUGUAGGCGGCCCGGUAAGUCCGCUGUGAAAGUCGGGGGCUCAACCCUCGAAUGCCGGUGGAUACUGUCGGGCUAGAGUGCGGAAGAGGCGAGUGGAAUUCCUGGUGUAGCGGUGAAAUGCGUAGAGAUGUGGAGGAACACCGAUGGCGAAGGCAGCCUUCUGGGCCAACACUGACGCUCAUGCACGAAAGCGUGGGGAGCAAACAGG